CGGUUUGACGAUUUUUUUCGGACGACAACGUUCAUGCACAGAAUAUCGCAUAUCCACGCAUUUAGAAGAGUGUGUUGCAUGCACAAUGGGAAGGCGAAAUGGGGAUCGACUCAUUUUGUGAUGCAUGCAUCUCUUCGUUGUGCGCUAUAUAGCUGGCACAUAGCGCUGUUAGACGAGGCCUGGCAUAAUUGUGCAAUACGUGUACCUCGCAUAUCUCAGCGUGCAUCCUUCCUUCCGUUUCGCCCUUCGAGAGCUACACUGCAUACCUACCAAGCGCAACUUACUCAAUGUCGACGAAUAACGGGGCGGGUUGCACGUCGAUACGUUGAUUCGCGCGUACCGUAUAGCUGGCAGACGAAAUGUUCGUUCUUCCAAACGACUAAAUCGGCAUCGAUUGGCAUCAUCAAACGCACACAAAAUGAUGUCCACUCGACUUCCAAAUCAAUUUAUAGCAAAUCACGUCGAAACUUAAACGCGAAGAAUCAUCUGGGUCUUGUUGUGAGAUUAGUAAAAAUUAUCUCCUUCAGAUUGCAAAAUUCUUAAGAGACAGUAAUAAAUAAGAUUCUGCCACAUUCAUAGACUAUUUGAUCAUAACGAUAUGGCGAUGAAACCGGUUACGAAUAAACUUCGACGAUCGUAUAACAAAAAGUAGCAAAAGCCAAACUGUUAAGCUGUGUCUCUGAUGAAAGCGAGAGAAAUCGCUAAGAGAGUGGAUUAAAAUGGAACUUUUAACAUUUUAAACGAGAACCUGUCAACCAUUAUCAAUUAACUCCGAGAAUCUGGAUUGAGCAUUUGAGCAUCAUGAGACACAUUUCUGUCUAUAUUUUUAGUUUUAGAUUAAUAAGAAAAUAAUAUCAAGAAAAUAUGAUAGGGAGUUCAGGGAAGAAAAUAUGGAAAUACAUCAAGCAAUAUAUAUUUGCACACGGUAUUCCUUUGGCCUUCUCGCUCAUAUCGACCAUUGGAAUUUAUCUCGCUGACCAGACGCGAAUAACCGAGAUGAAUCGUUGCCGUGCUGCCUUUUAAUUUCAUCCUUUAUCGUUUUUAUUGAACGUGCGUGAGAUACAGAGUAUUCUUGAGUCAUCCUUAUUCUUUUCAAUAUUUCAGAUGCUGAUCACAAUAGAAUGAAGCUAAAACGAUCCGAGAGACGAAAGAGUUUCAGAAACAGCCGCGAAACAAUAGGCAUAACUUCUAACACGGUUGACACGCCGGUUACCGCAAGCCGAAAGCAGCUAAUACAGCAAGUUAUCCACUUAGAAAUCCGACGGAACAUUGCGAGAGAAGAGUUUGAGGAGUCGGAGGGUGCAGGAGGCUGUUACCAACUUUGGAUAAACCGGACUAAGUUUCCUCUGGCUCGGUACUUACGAAACUGCCACGCGAAAACGUUCAAGUUUAUUCUUCUCUCACGCACCGACAGAGAAAUACUGCAGGCAUCGAUUUGUAUAACGAUUAAGUUAAUUAAGCGCUUUAAUGUGUUGUUUAUCAAAUCUCCCUUGAAGGUAACAUGUCUUUAGAAACCACUGAUGGCAAAAAUGUUUAACAAAAUAAAUAUACCCGAGUGGAAAUUGGUCUAGCCAAUCUGCAUUUUACAGCUAAUAACUGUAUCACGCAGGCUAGAUAUGUUACCUAGCCAUUGACUAGCUUAUUAGCUAUAAUUUAUGAAUAUAAUUCUUCGCUGUCUAGUACUUACUCGAUGGUGCAACAGAAUUAUUUUCAUUUUUAGAUACUUCAGCAUUCUUUCCGUGAUGAAGGAUUACAUAUUGCUAUAUAAUUGACUUUAAGCUGACAAUUUGUGUCCUACAAAAUGGUCCGUUGUGAUAUUUUAUCGAGAAAAUAUUGGACCCAGUCAGGGAUUUGAGAUAUUUCAGUGUGGUCCUGUUCUCUAAAGAUAAGAUUCUCGUUUUCCAUCAAGGUCGCAUAUCCACGCAGUGACAAAGUGAACGUUUGCAAUUUUCAAAGAAUUAUGUCGAAUUUUUGUGAAAGUUAGUUUGAAGAAGUUUAAUGUUUCUAUGCUUUUCUCUCUGCUUCUUUCACUCUCUUCUUUUUCUUUCAACACUACUUUCUUAUGUUACCUACUC